GAGUUUGAUCAUGGCUCAGAUUGAACGCUGGCGGUAGGCUUAACACAUGCAAGUCGUGCGAGAAAGUAUCUUCGGAUAUGAGUAGAGCGGCGGACGGGUGAGUAACGCGUAGGAAUCUACCUAGUAGAAGGGGAUAGCCCGGGGAAACCCGGAUUAAUACCGUAUACCUCCUUCGGGAGAAAGAAGGCCUCUCUUUGAAGCUUUCGCUACUAGAUGAGCCUGCGUAAGAUUAGCUUGUUGGUGAGGUAAAGGCUCACCAAGGCUACGAUCUUUAGCUGGUCUGAGAGGACGAUCAGCCACAUUGGGACUGAGACACGGCCCAGACUCCUACGGGAGGCAGCAGUGGGGAAUAUUGGACAAUGGGCGCAAGCCUGAUCCAGCCAUACCGCGUGUGUGAAGAAGGCCUUCGGGUUGUAAAGCACUUUAAGCAGGGAGAAAAAGUUAUAAGUUAAUAUCUUAUAACCCUGAUGUUACCUGCAGAAUAAGCACCGGCUAAUUCCGUGCCAGCAGCCGCGGUAAUACGGAAGGUGCAAGCGUUAAUCGGAAUUACUGGGCGUAAAGCGCGCGUAGGUGGUUUGUUAAGUUGGAUGUGAAAGCCCUGGGCUCAACCUAGGAACUGCAUCCAAAACUAACUCACUAGAGUACGAUAGAGGGAGGUAGAAUUCAUAGUGUAGCGGUGGAAUGCGUAGAUAUUAUGAAGAAUACCAGUGGCGAAAGCGGCCUCCUGGAUCUGUACUGACACUGAGGUGCGAAAGCGUGGGUAGCGAACAGGAUUAGAUACCCUGGUAGUCCACGCCGUAAACGAUGACAACUAGCUGUUGUAAGACAAUGUCUUUCAGUGGCGCAGCUAACGCUUUAAGUUGU
rnacentral:rRNA from 1 species